UACGAAGGGGGCUAGCGUUGUUCGGAAUUACUGGGCGUAAAGGGCGCGUAGGCGGUCUUCUAAGUCUUGUGUGAAAUCCCUCGGCUCAACUGAGGAACUGCACGGGAUACUGGAAGACUUGAGUUCGGGAGAGGGAAGCGGAAUUCCGGGUGUAGCGGUGAAAUGCGUAGAUAUCCGGAGGAACACCGGUGGCGAAGGCGGCUUCCUGGACCGAUUACUGACGCUGAGGCGCGAAAGCUAGGGGAGCAAACGGG
rnacentral:rRNA from 1 species